rnacentral:rRNA from 1 species
GACGAACGCUGCCGGCGUGCUUAACACAUGCAAGUCGAACGGAAAGGCCUGCAGCUUGCUGCGGGUACUCGAGUGGCGAACGGGUGAGUAACACGUGGGUGAUCUGCCUUGCACUUCGGGAUAAGCUUGGGAAACUGGGUCUAAUACCGGAUAGGGCAGCUGUUUAGUGUCAGUUGUGGAAAGUUUUUUCGGUGCAAGAUGAGCUCGCGGCCUAUCAGCUUGUUGGUGGGGUAAUGGCCUACCAAGGCGUCGACGGGUAGCCGGCCUGAGAGGGUGUACGGCCACAUUGGGACUGAGAUACGGCCCAGACUCCUACGGGAGGCAGCAGUGGGGAAUAUUGCACAAUGGGCGGAAGCCUGAUGCAGCGACGCCGCGUGGGGGAUGAAGGCCUUCGGGUUGUAAACUCCUUUCGACAGGGACGAAGCGUAAGUGACGGUACCUGUAUAAGAAGCACCGGCUAACUACGUGCCAGCAGCCGCGGUAAUACGUAGGGUGCGAGCGUUGUCCGGAAUUACUGGGCGUAAAGAGCUCGUAGGUGGUUUGUCGCGUCGUCUGUGAAAUUCCGGGGCUUAACUCCGGGCGUGCAGGCGAUACGGGCUGACUUGAGUGCUGUAGGGGAGACUGGAAUUCCUGGUGUAGCGGUGAAAUGCGCAGAUAUCAGGAGGAACACCGAUGGCGAAGGCAGGUCUCUGGGCAGUAACUGACGCUGAGGAGCGAAAGCAUGGGUAGCGAACAGGAUUAGAUACCCUGGUAGUCCAUGCCGUAAACGGUGGGCGCUAGGUGUAGGGGGCUUCCACGUCUUCUGUGCCGUAGCUAACGCAUUAAGCGCCCCGCCUGGGGAGUACGGCCCGCAGGCUA